GUCCGUUGAUUGAAAAAUCCCAAAUCAGAUCUCUCAUUUCGCCCACGUGAGGUUGCAGUGCCGCCUCCCUCCUCUCCGGAUUCCAUGGGGAAAGUACGACCUCACUUCUCUUCCACCUCCUUUCGUCUUCAAUUUUCGCCCCUUUUCCCCGAUUUCUCUCUAUUGCGACUGUAGCAACAUCACGUAUUUCCCCUGCUCUAGCUGUGAUCGACGUCACUCUGUUCAAAAGAUGUAUUUUUCACAAUUUUCUGCUUCUUCCCGUGGCUUCUCCGGCGCUGGCUAUCACAUCUCCCGUCAACCAUUGCGUGGGACCUCCAAAGUGAGGGAACCAUAUGCAUUUAAUAAAGUUUUCAGCAGUAGUUGGUGGAGUAAGAAGCCUAUGUUAUGCAGGAGCAAGAUUAUGCAUUAGGCUAGGAGCUUUGGACAUUUAGAGGGAAUGAGCAAAAAGUUAGAACAUGAAUUAGGCAAGAGACAGAACCCCUUGGACAUUUUUCUUAUCCCAAUACAAUGGUGACUGCCGCCUAACAUGAUGAUUCUGUAGCUUCACUUUAUAUGCUUACUGCUUCUAUUCAGUAGAAGAACAUAUGGUAAAAGCGGGAUGCACACCUUCAAGGCUGCUGUUAAUCUUUGUUCUAAUUCUAAUAUCUCUAUUUUGGUAAAUUGUUUUAGCCGAGUAAAUCUUUAUUCAUACGAAUAAAACCCCUUAUAUAGUGACAUUUCACAACUUAAAAGAAAAAAAAAAGAAAAUCGUUUUGUUCUUUUGCCCUAUGUCUUUUUUUUCUUUCUCUUGCCAUGUUUUUUCUUCAACAGUGAGUUUUAGGAUUAGGCUUGAGUUUGACCCCUUAAAAUAUAUACUGAUAACUUUUAGUCUUUUGGUGUUAAACAUUGAAUAAUAACUGUAAGGAGAAGCAUUUCAGUAGAUCAUUCUGUCUCUGCUUUCUUAGUUUCUUUUUCCAUACAACUUUUUAAUCUUUCUGUGACUGCUACUUUUGACA